UCAUCACAUAAAGAGUCUUACAUAAUUCAAGACAAAGGCGUCAAGACAACACUAAGACUAAAAA